GUCACUGGCGGAGUCAGUGUGCAUGACAGUACAGACGCUGCUGGGUGACCCGGCCCCACCCCUGUCAGGGCCAAUGGCGCCAUGUCAGAGGUGCGAGGGGAGGUAGGGCGGGCAGGGCCGGGGUGUGAGACCAGGUGUCACGACUGUUGUGUCUCCCUCACAGUGCCCUAGAGUCCAUCCAGAGUGCCCGUGCUGCCCAGGCCCCGCACUGGAAGAGCCUCCAGCAGCAAGAUGUGACCGCUGUGCCGAUGAGCCCCAGCAGCCACUCCCCAGAGGGGAGGCCUCCACCUCUGCUGCCUGGGGGUCCAGUGUGUAAGGCAGCUGCAUCUGCACCGAGCUCCCUCCUGGACCAGCCGUGCCUCUGCCCCGCACCCUCUGUCCGCACCGCUGUUGCCCUGACAACGCCGGAUAUCACAUUGGUUCUGCCCCCUGACGUCAUCCAACAGGAAGCGUCAGCCCUGAGGGAGGAGACAGAAGCCUGGGCCAGGUGGGCAGGGCUGGCCUGGGGAGAAGGAUGGGGCCGCAUCUACACCUGUGCCUGUGUGUGCCUGACCUGCGGUCACUCCGUGUCUGUGUGUCCCUCUGGUCUGUCCACCACAGGCCACACGAGUCCCUGGCCCGGGAGGAGGCCCUCACUGCACUUGGGAAGCUCCUGUACCUCUUAGAUGGGAUGCUGGAUGGGCAGGUGGGAGCACCUGGGAGGGGUUGGGGAUGCUGUGGACCUAGGGGCAGGGACCAGGACCUGCCAACGAGAUGUGGCCUGUCCAGAGGAGGGCUGGGUGGUGCAGAACCACAUGGAUGUGAACAUUGCCUUGUGCCAGGAACUGUUCCCAGAACAGCCCCAGGGGUGGGGAUCACUAGUGUGUCUGACCUCUGACCUCAGCUUCUUCAGUUAAAUGCUCUUUGGCAGAGAGGUGAAGGGGGUGAUUUAAAGUAUACAUUUAGGCAGGGUGCAGUGGCUCAUGCCUGUAAUAACGGCAGUUUGGGGGGCCAAGGUGGGAGAAACGCUUGAGCCCAGGAGUUCAAGACCAGCCUAGAGAACAUAUGGAGACCCUGUCUUCACAAAAAAUAAAAAAGUCAGCCAAGCGUGGUGGUGUGUGCCUGUAGUUACUUAGGAGGCUGAGGCAGGACGAUCGCUUAAGCCCAGGAGUUUGAGGCUGUGGUGAGCUACAAUUGCGCCACUGCACGCCAGCCUGGCUACAGAACGAGACCCUGCCUCUCUAAAAAAAAAAAAAAAAA
rnacentral:lncRNA from 1 species